rnacentral:tRNA from 1 species
GGGAAUGUGGCUUAGUGGUAGAGUGCUUGCCUUGCAUGCAUGAAACCCUGGGUUCAGUUCCUCAGUACCA